GGAUACUGCGGGAAGAAGCAUUUGGGGGCAGGAGAUAAGGGUCAAAUGCGGUAGUACAAGAGCUGUCACAGAACACCCUUCCUGCCCCCACCCCUCACCCCCUGAUAUGACUGAUCUUUGGGUCUCCAUGGGGACAAGGAGAGAAAAGUCAUUGUCAGCUUGAGUGUCACACACUGCCUAUUUCCCAAGGACCUGCGCUCAUGCACGAGAACAGUGAGGAAAGCAAUGAAUAAACUCCUGAGGAGUUCACCCAGUCUUCUGUCCUGAGGAGUUCACCCAGUCUUCUGUCCUGAGGAGUUCACUCAGUCUUCUGUCCUGAGGAGUUCACCCAGUCUUCUGUUCUGAGGAGUUCACCCAGUCUUCUGUCCUGAGGAGUUCACCCAGUCUUCUGUCCUGAGGAGUUCACUCAGUCUUCUGUCCUGAGGAGUUCACCCAGUCUUCUGUUCUGAGGAGUUCACCCAGUCUUCUGUUCUGAGGAGUUCACCCAGUCUUCUGUCCUGAGGAGUUCACCCAGUCUUCUGUCCUGAGGAGUUCACUCAGUCUUCUGUCCUGAGGAGUUCACCCAGUCUUCUGUUCUGAGGAGUUCACCCAGUCUUCUGUCCUGAGGAGUUCACCCAGUCUUCUGUUCUGAGUUCCAGGGACAGAAGCAGCCAGCUGUUUCCAGGAUGAGUGGCUGGGCUGGGGGUAGGGAAAGGGACAUCAGAUGGGAAGCUGUUCCAGUCACCACCACCCACAAGCCACAGCUGAUGAAGUCAUUACCGGGGACAACAAUAUUGACUUCCGGGAAGACAGAACGUAUGGUCUGUUGAAGCAGCUGGUAGCCCAUGGCGUGCUCAUCAGAGGGGCUGACAGGAAGGGGAUCAAAAGAUCUCAGCACAUGCAACUGGACUCGGUCAUCAGCCACGAUGUUCUUGACAAGCUCCAGGACCUUCAGGGAGGAAACCAAGACGGUUACAGUUGCAUUGACCUGCUAUCUAAGCACCAAACUCAGAUCUUUUGUUUUAGCAGGUAGCACUCUGGAGUUUAGAGAAAAGAAUGUUUGUUUUUGCAGUGGGACCCCAACUUUUACUGCCUGGCUGUGAGUGAUGUAAGAGCUGGCAUUUCCUAGAAAGCAUGGCAGAAUUCAGCUAAGCGUUUGGGAGGAUUGUGUUACAGCUCUAAGUCAGACGGGGAAUUGGAUAAUCCGGAACUUGUGUUGUGGUCCCCCCACCCACCCUGGGUUGUGAGCCAUGGGAUUAGGUAAAGUAUCAGAGAUACUAGGAUGAGAAUCUCAGCUGUCUCAAUAGGAUGAUCCUGUUCCAACCUGAGAGACAGCCUUGGGGUGGUGACACAGGUUGCAAAAGACCUUACCACACAGUUUUCUUUCUCCUCUCGAGCUGUUACCUAUUUGUAACCAAAUACACUGAGCCAGAAAGAUGAGCUCAGCAUGCACACAAAGUCAGGAGUGUGGUGCCGUGACUGGAGGUUUUCCCUUUGCCUCUUUUUAUUGAGAAAGACUAUGAGGAAAUUCCCAGAAAAUCGAGCCUGAGGUGACUAGGGGGAAAUCCAAUGAAAUCCCUGGUUCCAGGAAGGAUACAGACCAGACCCGGAGGCUCAGGUCACUUGAGAGAACAGACCAGGAGCAUUACAGUGGUCCCCCCAACCUAGUCAGCUCCACAAGGGAAAGCUCAAUAUCAACCAUUUGACCAGUGCUUAUUAGUUUGAAGCUGCUUCUGCCUGGGAAGGGCUGGGUUGCACAGCUGGCAAUCACCAGAACGGGGGCAUUAUUUGGAGUGCUCAUUUUAGGCCAAUGGCCCCUAGAAGGGUGGCAGAGAUGAAACCGGGGGAGGAGACAGUGAAGGCUCCCACCUCUAGCUUAGAAACUCCAUCAGAAUCAAAGCAAAUGCCCAUGGGGAAUGGAUGAAGAUUAUAAGAACUCAUUUUUAAUCACCCUAUCACUAGUACCCCCAACACUGUCAAUACCAAAUUCACCGUGGGUAUGGCUCAAUGGCAGAAUGCUUGCCUACCAUGCAUAAGGCCCUAGGUUCAAGCCCCAGUACCUUAGUAAAAGUAUCUGUAGUCUUCACACAUCGCUUUACCCAGGAAAAGGCUCCUGGGUCACCACCUAUGCAGUAGAUAGGGACUGUGCCUGCUGUGUCUUGCUUGGGUCCCUGCAGAGCUUUCUGCAUCUGGAAACUGAAGGCCAUAUGACAACUGGCUCUGUUUAGUGAGAGGUGGGGCCUGCUUCAAAGGCAGGGACUGUGUCAGCCUCAUUCCCUUAUCUAGAGUAGUGAGCAAGUAAGAAGUAAUAAAUGCUGGCUACUUUAGCUGUAAGGGAUAAGAACCAACAGAAACGAUAACAGGCACUGUUCCCCUAGGUACCUUGCCCGUCGUAUACAGUUAGAAGUGCUGGGCUGAGUGUCUGUUGGACUACCUAAGGAUGGUGCUUUACUGAGUCCAACCGGAAGAGGAGGUGCGGCUCAGAAAAGCAUUCAUCUUAGGUGUGCAGUUUGGAGUCAGGAAUUUCGGGUCUGAAGAGAGGAUACGGUCCUGGUAGAGAAGAGGCAAACAGGUAUUCCUAAGGUGGAGAGGGAUGGGCAACAAACACAAAAAAUAAAAAAAGAGCCAUGA